GGGAACAGAGGGAGGCUAUUUUCUCAAAUUUUGACUCCUAGUGUUGACAUGUCACGACACUACUUCGAAAAUUCACACUUGUUCUUCAUUGUUGUGAAAUUUAAAAAGCCUUUAUUCACAACCCUUCUUUCAAGAGCUGAAUCAUGAUGGGUGGUACCAUCUCUGGUGGACUGCUUCUGGUUUCUAUCCUUACAUCAUCAUGCCAAUAUAUGCUGCUGCAUUAUCACUUGGUCAACCCGAAUAGGAACAAUUUAGCAGCAGUUUAUGCAAAUGGUGACAAAAUGGGGUUGACUAUGAGCCUCUCCAAAAUUUUGUUUGGUACUCUUAAUCAACCAAUCUUCAAGUGAUAUUAGGAUCACUUAGCUAUGAACAUUGAACAAUCCUAGAAAGUACUCCCUCCGUUUCAAAUUACUAUUCGUUUUGGCUUUUCCUUAUACAUAACUUUUG
rnacentral:lncRNA from 1 species